GAGAUUGAAUUUAAGUUCUAACUAAUUUUAGAUUAGAUCUGAUUUAGUUAGAUUUAAUUAGGUAAAAAAUCUAAGUUAGAUUUGGUUCUAAAUCUUAAAUAGUUUGGGAUUGACAACCUAUUCAAAAUUGGUUCGAAUCAGGUUCGAAUUAAAUUUGAAUUGAUCUAUAUUUGGAUUAGAUUCAUAGAAUUCACUUUUACUAAGACUCUCUCUCCUGAUGGC
rnacentral:lncRNA from 1 species